rnacentral:rRNA from 1 species
UGUUGGUGGGGUAAUGGCUCACCAAGGCGACGAUCCCUAGCUGGUCUGAGAGGAUGAUCAGCCACACUGGAACUGAGACACGGUCCAGACUCCUACGGGAGGCAGCAGUGGGGAAUAUUGCACAAUGGGCGAAAGCCUGAUGCAGCCAUGCCGCGUGUAUGAAGAAGGCCUUCGGGUUGUAAAGUACUUUCAGUUGUGAGGAAGGGUGUGUAGUUAAUAGCUGCACAUCUUGACGUUAGCAACAGAAGAAGCACCGGCUAACUCCGUGCCAGCAGCCGCGGUAAUACGGAGGGUGCGAGCGUUAAUCGGAUUUACUGGA